AUUGAACGCUGGCGGCAUGCCUUACACAUGCAAGUCGAACGGCAGCACGGGAGCAAUCCUGGUGGCGAGUGGCGAACGGGUGAGUAAUAUAUCGGAACGUGCCCAGUCGUGGGGAUAACGUAGCGAAAGCUACGCUAAUACCGCAUACGAUCUAUGGAUGAAAGCGGGGGAUCGCAAGACCUCGCGCGAUUGGAGCGGCCGAUAUCAGAUUAGGUAGUUGGUGAGGUAAAGGGCUCACCAAGCCGACGAUCUGUAGCUGGUCUGAGAGGACGACCAGCCACACUGGGACUGAGACACGGCCCAGACUCCUACGGGAGGCAGCAGUGGGGAAUUUUGGACAAUGGGCGCAAGCCUGAUCCAGCAAUGCCGCGUGCA
rnacentral:rRNA from 1 species